rfam:Sphingobacteriales bacterium 46-32 scnpilot_p_inoc_scaffold_34, whole genome shotgun sequence.
CGGGAUGUAGCGCAGCCCGGUAGCGUACCACGUUCGGGACGUGGGGGUCGCUGGUUCGAAUCCAGUCAUCCCGA